rnacentral:rRNA from 1 species
AUUGAACGCUGGCGGAAUGCUUUACACAUGCAAGUCGAACGGUAGAGGGGGCAACCCCUCGAGAGUGGCGAACGGGUGAGUAAUAUAUCGGAACGUGCCCAGUCGUGGGGGAUAACGUAGCGAAAGUUACGCUAAUACCGCAUACGAUCUAAGGAUGAAAGCGGGGGAUCGCAAGACCUCGCGCGAUUGGAGCGGCCGAUAUCAGAUUAGGUAGUUGGUGGGGUAAAGGCUCACCAAGCCAACGAUCUGUAGCUGGUCUGAGAGGACGACCAGCCACACUGGAACUGAGACACGGUCCAGACUCCUACGGGAGGCAGCAGUGGGGAAUUUUGGACAAUGGACGCAAGUCUGAUCAGCCAUUCCGCGUGCAGGAUGAAGGCCCUCGGGUUGUAAACUGCUUUUGUACGGAACGAAAAGGUCUCUCUUAAUACGGGGGACUCAUGACGGUACCGUAAGAAUAAGCACCGGCUAACUACGUGCCAGCAGCCGCCGUAAUAC